rnacentral:rRNA from 1 species
UGGGGAAUCUUGGACAAUGGGCGCAAGCCUGAUCCAGCCAUGCCGCGUGAGUGAAGAAGGCCUUAGGGUUGUAAAGCUCUUUUGCCAGGGACGAUAAUGACGGUACCUGGAGAAUAAGCCCCGGCAAACUUCGUGCCAGCAGCCGCGGUAAUACGAAGGGGGCUAGCGUUAUUCGGAAUUGUUGGGCGUAAAGGGCGCGUAGGCGGCCCGGUAAGUCAAAGGUGAAAUCCCUCGGCUCAACUGAGGAACUGCCUUUGAAACUGUCGGGCUUGAGGCCGGGAGGGGGUAGCGGAAUUCCCAGUGUAGCGGUGAAAUGCGUAGAUAUUGGGAGGAACACCGGUGGCGAAGGCGGCUACCUGGACCGGUUCUGACGCUGAUGCGCGAAAGCGUGGGUAGCAAA